UGGGGAAUUUUGGACAAUGGGCGAAAGCCUGAUCCAGCAAUGCCGCGUGCAGGAAGAAGGCCUUCGGGUUGUAAAGCUCUUUCAGACGGAAAGAAACGGUCGCGGCUAAUACCCGCGACUAAUGACGGUACCGUAAGAAGAAGCACCGGCUAACUACGUGCCAGCAGCCGCGGUAAUACGUAGGGUGCGAGCGUUAAUCGGAAUUACUGGGCGUAAAGCGUGCGCAGGCGGUUUGGUAAGACAGAUGUGAAAUCCCCGGGCUUAACCUGGGAACUGCAUUCGAGACUGCGUUGCUGGAGUACGGAAGAGGAGGGCGUAAUUCCCGGUGUAGCGGUGAAAUGCGUAGAUAUCGGGAGGAACAUCAGUGGCGAAGGCGGCCCUCUGGUCCAGUACUGACACUCAAGUGCGAAAGCGUGGGGAGCAAACAGGAUUAGAUACCCCUGUAGUCCCUGAGCGGGCUGGCAAGGCGCAU
rnacentral:rRNA from 1 species